rnacentral:rRNA from 1 species
GCAAGUCGAGCGAACAGACGAGGAGCUUGCUCCUCUGACGUUAGCGGCGGACGGGUGAGUAACACGUGGAUAACCUACCUAUAAGACUGGGAUAACUUCGGGAAACCGGAGCUAAUACCGGAUAAUAUAUUGAACCGCAUGGUUCAAUAGUGAAAGACGGUUUUGCUGUCACUUAUAGAUGGAUCCGCGCCGCAUUAGCUAGUUGGUAAGGUAACGGCUUACCAAGGCAACGAUGCGUAGCCGACCUGAGAGGGUGAUCGGCCACACUGGAACUGAGACACGGUCCAGACUCCUACGGGAGGCAGCAGUAGGGAAUCUUCCGCAAUGGGCGAAAGCCUGACGGAGCAACGCCGCGUGAGUGAUGAAGGUCUUCGGAUCGUAAAACUCUGUUAUUAGGGAAGAACAAAUGUGUAAGUAACUAUGCACGUCUUGACGGUACCUAAUCAGAAAGCCACGGCUAACUACGUGCCAGCAGCCGCGGUAAUACGUAGGUGGCAAGCGUUAUCCGGAAUUAUUGGGCGUAAAGCGCGCGUAGGCGGUUUUUUAAGUCUGAUGUGAAAGCCCACGGCUCAACCGUGGAGGGUCAUUGGAAACUGGAAAACUUGAGUGCAGAAGAGGAAAGUGGAAUUCCAUGUGUAGCGGUGAAAUGCGCAGAGAUAUGGAGGAACACCAGUGGCGAAGGCGACUUUCUGGUCUGUAACUGACGCUGAUGUGCGAAAGCGUGGGGAUCAAACAGGAUUAGAUACCCUGGUAGUCCACGCCGUAAACGAUGAGUGCUAAGUGUUAAGGGGUUUCCGCCCCUUAGUGCUGCAGCUAACGCAUUAAGCACUCCGCCUGGGGAGUACGACCGCAAGGUUGAAACUCAAAGGAAUUGACGGGGACCCGCACAAGCGGUGGAACAUGUGGUUUAAUUCGAAGCAACGCGAAGAACCUUACCAAAUCUUGACAUCCUCUGAC